rnacentral:rRNA from 1 species
CGGCCGCGUCGACGGCAGGCUUAACACAUGCAAGUCGAACGAUGACUCUCUAGCUUGCUAGAGAAGAUUAGUGGCGGACGGGUGAGUAACAUUUAGGAAUCUACCUAGUAGUGGGGGAUAGCUCGGGGAAACUCGAAUUAAUACCGCAUACGACCUACGGGUGAAAGGGGGCGCAAGCUCUUGCUAUUAGAUGAGCCUAAAUCAGAUUAGCUAGUUGGUGGGGUAAAGGCCCACCAAGGCGACGAUCUGUAACUGGUCUGAGAGGAUGAUCAGUCACACCGGAACUGAGACACGGUCCGGACUCCUACGGGAGGCAGCAGUGGUCGACGCGGCCG